GCCAGCAGCCAUGUCACCCUGCAGCUCUCAACUGGCUACCCACUGCAGCUAAUGAGGGUUGAGCCAGGUCAGUACCUGGAUGGGAGACCACCUGGGAAGCUAUGGAUGCUGGAA
rnacentral:rRNA from 1 species